AACGAACGCUGGCGGCAGGCUUAACACAUGCAAGUCGAACGCGUGUAGCAAUACACGAGUGGCGCACGGGUGAGUAACACGUGGAUAUCUGCCUUUUGGUUCGGAAUAACCCCGGGAAACUGGGGCUAAUACCGAAUGGUUCCUACGGGAUAAAGAUUUAUCGCCAAAAGAUGAGUCCGCGGCCGAUUAGCUAGUUGGCGGGGUAAUGGCCCACCAAGGCAACGAUCGGUAGCUGGUCUGAGAGGACGAUCAGCCACACUGGGACUGAGA
rnacentral:rRNA from 1 species